rnacentral:rRNA from 1 species
CCUACGGGAGGCAGCAGUGGGGAAUAUUGGGCAAUGGAGGGAACUCUGACGCAGCAACGCCGCGUGAAUGAUGAAGGUCUUCGGAUUGUAAAGUUCUAUUCUAAGGGAAGAAGAAAGUGACGGUACCUUAGGAAUAAGCCUCGGCUAACUACGUGCCAGCAGCCGCGGUAAUACGUAGGAGGCAAGCGUUAUCCGGAAUUACUGGGGGUAAAGGGUGAGUAGGUGGUAUGAUAAGCUGGUAGCGUAACCCCUAGGCUUAACCUGGGCAUUGCUACCCAAACUGUCGGACUUGAGUACAGGAGAGGAAACUGGAAUUCCUAGUGUAGCGGUGGAAUGCGUAGAUAUUAGGAGGAACACCAGUGGCGAAGGCGACUUUCUGGACUGUAACUGACGCUGAGGCACGAAAGCGUGGGGAGCAAACAGGAUUAGAUACCCUUGUAGUC